AGGACGAACGCUGGCGGUGUGCUUCACACAUGCAAGUCGAACGGAGUAGCAAUACUCAGUGGCGGACGGGUGAGUAACGCGUAGGAAUCUGCCCUAAAGUGGGGGAUAACAGUCCGAAAGGACUGCUAAUACCGCAUAUGUAUACAAGACGACAGUUCUGUAUAUGAAAGGAGUAAUCCGCUUAAGGAUGAGCCUGCGUCCGAUUAGCUAGUUGGUAGGGUAAAAGCCUACCAAGGCGACGAUCGGUAGCUGGUCUGAGAGGAUGAUCAGCCACAAUGGGACUGAGAUACGGCCCAUACUCCUACGGGAGGCAGCAGUGGGGAAUUUUGUGCAAUGGGGGAAACCCUGACACAGCGACACCGCGUGAGCGAAGAAGCCCUUUUGGGUGUAAAGCUCUGUCAGCUGGAACGAAAAAAAUGACGGUACCAGCAGAGGAAGCAUCGGCUAACUACGUGCCAGCAGCCGCGGU
rnacentral:rRNA from 1 species